rnacentral:rRNA from 1 species
UACGUAGGGUGCAAGCGUUGUCCGGAAUUAUUGGGCGUAAAGAGCUCGUAGGCGGUUUGUCGCGUCGAAUGUGAAAACCCGGGGCUCAACCCCCGGGCCUGCAUUCGAUACGGGCAGACUGGAGUUCGGCAGGGGAGACUGGAAUUCCUGGUGUAGCGGUGAAAUGCGCAGAUAUCAGGAGGAACACCGGUGGCGAAGGCGGGUCUCUGGGCCGAUACUGACGCUGAGGAGCGAAAGCGUGGGGGAGCGAACAGG